rnacentral:lncRNA from 1 species
ACGAAAGUAUGUGUUAUGAAUAAUGUUGUACCAUACAUUUAUCUCAGUCUAAUGUAUGUAUUGUUUUAAGGAAACAACAGCAGUAAAACUGUAGAGAACAUCGAUCCAGGUAAGGCGGAAACAGUCACAAACUCGGGUAUAUUAAUCAAUUAAUCAAGCAAAUAAGCAAAUGCACAACCAAAAACAUCAAGUGAACAACAACUGCAUUGCCUAAAGAAAAACGAUGACAGAAACAAACACUGCACAAAAAUGACACGACUGAUUCAGUGGUAGAAUCUAUAUUUAUCUGGUUUAAUGUGGUACCAAAGACCUUGAAUAAAAUUAAUUUGACUCGUUUAAUUUUAAUGAAAUUUUGACAAAAUAUUAAUUUGACCCUUUGACAAAAAUAUGAAAUUUGAAAAAAAAACUUGAGCCACAAAUUUUUCCCAGAAAAAUUUAGGUGGAUAUAUAGCAGUUUGACAAACGCUAAUUUUGAUCAUUGAGAAGCUUCAUAUUCCUUGUACUAUAGAACGUGAUUCAAACAUUCAGCCGAUUUUUCAGAGUUAUUUCUCUGUAGUAGUAUGUAGCACCUUAAGUAUAUAAUUUACCACUUUAAGGGAUACACAGCCAACUAAAUGUGGAGAACACCGAUUCAAGUGAAGUGAUUGAUUGAUUGUUGGUUGAUUUACGCCUCAUUAGCACAAAAAGGCUAUAUCGCGGCGAUCAGGUGAAGUGGAAAUAGUCACAAACUCGAGUAUAAUUAAUCAGUUUAUUCAAACAUUUUACACUCCUUCAUAUCAUAAAAAAAUUAUCAUGUGAAGCAUGAUUUGAAGCAUAUAACGUUCUCUUCAAUUCAUGAGUUUUGAAUGUCUGAUUGGUAUUUUCCAUCUCAUGUUUGACAAAAACAAACUGCUUACAAAGAAAUAUGGUCUAAAGUCUAUGAUAUUGUUGGAAAUAUCGAUCAAAUGUUGUUUACUGUGGAUUCAGUAUUAUUCGUUGGAUACCAAUUUUCAUUGGUUUCGUGUAAAAUAUCGAUCAAAUGUUGUUUACUAGUAAUUGGGUCUACACAAAUUUACCUUAAUGUGUGAUUCAUAGAAAUAAUGAAAUAAAUAUACAUGACUAUAGCCCAGUACGUCCAAGUAGGAACAUCAAUCAUAAAAAGGGGGAAUAAAUCGACAAAAAUGAAAAAAAAACAUUAUGACUUCGAUCAUCUCUACGACAGACUAUUAAGUUUUCCAUACAAGAGUUUUAUCAUUGAGAGAGAAAUUAGAGUACAAAUAAAAUAACACCAGGAUAAUAAUCACUUUCCGUUUUCAAUUUUCCACGGAUUUCAAUAUUUUUGUGAUUUUAGUUUUGAAAGCCAAUUUAAUGAAGUAAGAAAGAUAGUUCGGAUUAAAAGUGUAUUCAUGCGGUAUCUACAAACUUUUAAAAAUAAACCACUUCAAACCAUUUCCAAUAAACUCAUCAUAGAUAUCAGCACUAAAUACAUGUAUGCCAGAUGCUAGUUUCGUCUUCAAAAGACUCAUUAUUGACGCUCAUAUAAAAUAAGUGAAAUUUCAAAAGGUAUUUUCAAAUACGGCUAAGGUAAGUAUGUUGGUAUUAUUGAUAAAUGUGUUUUUAAUUUAAACUACAUAUAUUCAAUGUCUUUUAAAUGCCAAUGAUUGAGAACACUUUGAAACACAUUUUGCAAGUCGACCAAAAAAUUCAAUCUACAUACGUAUAAUACUUCUAGAGUAAUCGAGUUGUGCAUAACUUCUUUUUUUAAUGCAUACGAGUAAGUCAAGUGGUAAAGUAAUAAUUUCAUUGACGUAUUACUGUAAAUGUUUUGAUAAAAUCCUCGCAUAUAAUAUAUACUUUGUUUUUUUCAUAUAAAAUACACGCGUGCCGUAUACAUUUAAGAAAUUAAUUGUAUGAAACAUAUCAAUGAUACGAUAUUUUUUUGUUGUUUAGGACGGUCAUGUCAAGACAAGUUUUAUCAUGGUCUAUUAUCAGCUGGACUUAUCCUUAUAUCAUUUUUAUUGGUUAUAUGCAGUGCUUGUUUCAACCGUAAGUGUCGAACCAAGACAUUAGAUCAAAGAUAGAAAGAUAAGUCAACCAGUUAUAUACAACACAACAAGA